rnacentral:lncRNA from 1 species
UUUGAUAUUGAUUAGCUCACCAAUCAAUACGUAAUGGAACUGGCUUCGCUUUUUUGAUUGAUAGAUAAAAUAAUAGAAUUAGGAAAUCCUCUAUUUACUGAAUAAUAACUUUUUUGUUGACAAAAGAGUAAACAUCAUUAUGUAAGGUAAUGGAACUGGCUUCGCUUUUUUGAUUGAUAGAUAAAAUAAUAGAAUUAGGAAAUCCUCUAUUUACUGAAUA